AUGCACCCUAUAAAAUAAAGACAAGGUGUUUAGUGUCUGUGUUAGGCCUCGUACCCUCAUCUCCCGAGGAGCCUCACUCCUACGUGAAGGUCUUCACAGCAGACACAUCAUGCAGUGCACACGUGGCCCUGGUGGGUUUCUGUGAAGCCAGGUUCGGCUCUGGGUCAGGAUGGUCUCCACAUGCCCCUUUUCUCCCCUCUAGCCCUCUUGGGAGCAGGACAGUAGGUGGGAGGUACGCCCUACUGUGGCUUCACGCUGUUUCUGCCCCCAGGUGGCGUUGCUAAGGAACCAGAUCGGCUCUUGGGGCUGUCCCAGGCCCAGGCGUCCUGUCAGCCCUGCACAGGUGUCAGUUAUGGCCCGCGUUGAACCCUUACUGCUGGACUGUCCCUAAAGCAGUACUGUUACAGCCAAAGUGCCAACUUCCCUCCAUUUUAAAGCACCCUCUUUCGGAUCUCCCACCCGACCCUAAGACCCUUCUGUGUUCAGAACCCUAGGCUCUUGUUCACGAAGAGAGAGUGUAACCUGCUAGACAGGUUGAACACGCAGCUGGUGCGCAGCGCCUCACCCCGGCCACCUGUGUCCUGAAUCAGGCGGGCAGGGUGGGCUGUGUAGGGACUGUGGCGCUCACGUUGUGGGACUGCUGGAGAAGCCUGCCGCGCCGGGACACCCACACUGGUGUGCCUGUGCCCUCGCCUCGUGUGUGCUCUGAGGUCGCGUCGGCUUGGUUCGGCUCUCUUAGCAGGUCGCCUGCUGCAGGUUCCAGUGUCCCGUGUCCCUGUGGUGGCAGGGAUCUGCCUGUCCGGUGACCUCCUGCCCUGACUCGGGCCUUCAUAGCUGCCGUGGGAAUGGCCAUUUCAGAGACUGCUGAUUAUACGCCACUGUCCCCUUCUGUCCUCUCCACGCAGCAGCCGCAGGCCGGCCCGCCGCAGACCCCAGCAUGGGGCUGGACAGUGUGGACGCGGGAGAUACCACGCCGCCCACCAGGAGGAAGAGCAAGUUCUCAGGCUUUGGCAAGAUCUUCAAGCCCUGGAAGUGGAGGAGAAAGAGAAGUAGCGAUAAGUUCAAGGAGACUUCGGAGGUUUUAGAGCGGAAGAUAUCCAUGCGAAAGCCGAGAGAGGAGCUGGUUAAACGGGGGCUGCUGCCUGAGGACGAGGAGCAGGCUGCAGGCGAGGAGGAACCAGGGAAGCCGCGCCACACCAUGGUGAAGAAUGGCCACACCAUCCCUGUCGGCAGUGCCAGGCCGCCUAGCCCAGUCCAGGACGAGCCAGCAGGGCUGGCGAGUGUUCGGAAGCCCACCCCAGAGGAGGGCCUGAAAAAGCACCUGGGUCCGACUGGAGGCCAACCUGGCUGGGAAGCAGAGUCUGCCCCUCAGGGCAUGCCCAAACAGCCUCUACUUCCCCCCAGGAGGCCUCUGUCCUCCUCUCAUGUCACAAGUGAAGGGCAGACAGAGGGUGCCAUUUCCUUCAGCACGGCGAGGCGCACCUCUCCCACUCCCCCCGCCUCCACCACGGCCCCCGCUGCCUCCACAAACCCAGCAAAGACUGCAGAGGCCGUUGUCAGCCCUUCCCCGGCCCCCAGGACGCUGCCUGCUGUGCCCGACAGCACGAACACUACCAUGACCCCGAGCCUCCCUCGCACAGUUCCUGCCAAGCAGCCCCCCGUGCCGCCCCCUAAGCCGGCUCCCAGGAGCAGCAACCCCAUGGUUGCCGAGCUGUCCCAGGCAGUGAGCAGCCGCAUGCCCCUGUCAAAGCCAUCCCCACCCUUGCCGCCCAAGAGGGGUGUUCCUUCUGCUUCGCUGCACACCUCGGAGUCUGCUGCUGCCACGUCGAGGGCACCGAGUGACCACAGAGAGAGGAGCGCCCGCCCCGUGGGCUCAGAGCCUCUGCCCACCACCCCGCCUCCCUCCCCGUCCCCACCACUGCCUGCUCACGUGCCCCCAGAGCCCCCGUGGGCUCCUCCACGCCCAGCUGAGACUUUCCAAGCUGGGCCAGAAAUUGAGUUUCCACCUUCCUUAGAUCUGCCCCAAGAGGGCCCCCAGCAGGAAGAUCAGGAAAAGGGAGGCCCCAGGAAGGCCGCGGACCAGAGCUCUGGGGAGUUCCCCACUGUCGGCAGGCUGCCCCUGCCCCCACUGCAUGUUCGAAUCCAGCAGGCCCUGGCCAGUCCGCAGCCCACAGCCCCGCCCCUGGGAAGCGCUCACAGAGCGCACUCUCUGCUCUUCGAGAACAGCUUCUCCUUUCCUGAGGACAGCAGUGCCCUGGGCCGGACCCGGUCACUUCCCGUCACCAUCGAGAUGCUCAAAGUUCCAGAUGAUGAAGAUGAGGAGGAGCCGACCUGCCCGCCUGCACUCAGAGAAGACAUGCCUACCUCAGCCACUCCGCUGCCGCAGCGCCUACAGGAGAGAGCAGAGAAGGAGAGCGACUCUGACUCUGAGGGCCCCGUUCAGUACCGUGACGACGAGGGCGAGGACGAGGAAGAGGACGAGGACGAGGGCGAGGGCCCCCAGAGUGCUCUGGCCAGUAAGGUGAAGAGGAAAGACACCCUGGCCAUGAAGCUGAACCACAGGCCCAGCGAACCAGACCCAGUCCUCGGUUCUUGGCCCCGUAAAAGCAAGGAGGAGUGGAUCGCCAUCCGGCACCAGAUCGGAAGCACACUGACCCGACACUCACCAGGGAGAGAGCAAAGGAGGGGAGAAGGCACCCCGCAGUGGGGCAUGGUCGCACCUUCUCCCUUCCCCGUCUCUCCGUCCUGCUGGGAUUUGGGGCACACAAACCUGGCGUGGUUUUCAAGCUGCUGGGCCCAAAAGGCAGACCACACUCUGGCACGUGCAUCAAGCUCCCUGGACCCUGGCUCCAGCCCAGCACCUACGUGCGAUUGCUAGGAAUGCAUCCUGGACUGGGGACCCUCGGAGAGUGGGGGACUAAGUGACUAGAUGGCUCUGAGAGCUUUUAACCAGGAGAUACACACAGGGCGACUGAGUCAAAGACCAACAGCAGAGGAACUAGAACAGCGCAAUAUACUGCAAC